UACGAAGGGGGCUAGCGUUGUUCAGAAUCACUGGGCGUAAAGGGCGCGUAGGCGGCUUUGUAAGUCGGGGGUGAAAGCCUGUGGCUCAACCACAGAAUUGCCUUCGAUACUGCAUGGCUUGAGACCGGAAGAGGUUAGUGGAACUGCGAGUGUAGAGGUGAAAUUCGUAGAUAUUCGCAAGAACACCAGUGGCGAAGGCGGCUGACUGGUCCGGUUCUGACGCUGAGGCGCGAAAGCGUGGGGAGCAAACAGG
rnacentral:rRNA from 1 species